AGUGAACGCUGGCGGUAGGCCUAACACAUGCAAGUCGAACGGCAGCACAGGAGAGCUUGCUCUCUGGGUGGCGAGUGGCGGACGGGUGAGGAAUACAUCGGAAUCUACUUUUUCGUGGGGGAUAACGUAGGGAAACUUACGCUAAUACCGCAUACGACCUACGGGUGAAAGCAGGGGACCUUCGGGCCUUGCGCGAUUGAAUGAGCCGAUGUCGGAUUAGCUAGUUGGCGGGGUAAAGGUCCACCAAGGCGACGAUCCGUAGCUGGUCUGAGAGGAUGAUCAGCCACACUGGAACUGAGACACGGUCCAGACUCCUACGGGAGGCAGCAGUGGGGAAUAUUGGACAAUGGGCGCAAGCCUGAUCCAGCCAUACCGCGUGGGUGAAGAAGGCCUUCGGGUUGUAAAACCCUUUUGUUGGGAAAGAAAUCCAGCUGGCUAAUACCCGGUUGGGAUGACGGUACCCAAAGAAUAAGCACCGGCUAACUUCGUGCCAGCCGCCGCGGUAA
rnacentral:rRNA from 1 species